ACAUUUCCCAGGCUUCAUUGUUUGUGGAGGUUUGAAGUUUGAGGCUCAGUGGAGACUGGAUUUUGAUAAGCAAACACAAUAUUUAUAUAUUUUCAAAUGUUCAUGUAGGCUUGCAGCUUUUUGUAUUCUGUUAAGUAGACUGUAAAAGAGACUUGGGAGAAAGAAAUUUUAUUUUGAAGGAAAGAAGAGAGCUCUAUCAAAAGUUUAUCUGCGUUUCUUAAUAGUGAGAUUUAUUAAAUGGGUAUCUUAGUACAAUAUGUGCAGCAGUAUUGCAGGCUGCUCUUCUGCUUCUUUCUCAUUUUCUGGAGCACAUCCUUAUUUUUAUAUGUUCCUGUGGCGUAUGAAUCUUUUCUGUGGGCUGCGAACUUCCAGUGUCUGAGAGCAAGAUUGUGUCUUUCCAUGUCCAGGGACUAUCUUCUUGAGACUUGUAUGUUGCAAAGGGAGCUUUUCAGAGAUGAUUCUAACGAAACAAACAUCUCCAGAGGAAAUGAAAUUUGGGCACAGACUUAAGAGCUUGGCCUGAUACUCUGCAGCAGGCAUUCCAGGAAGGGCUGGAAAUGUUAAAGUGAACUCCAGGGAUCCACCUGUCUGUACUUAACCCCACCAAUGCCAUUCCCAGCAGCUUCAUGGAUGUUGAGUAUCCAAAUUCACCUACUGAGCCAUCUCCUCAGCCUCUUGGAAAAGAAGUUGACAUGAAAGUGACUAGUUAUGAGGUGCAGUUCAGUUGCUGUUCUGAAGAAGUGCUGUGGACAAUCAUCCUGAGGACAUUCAAGGACUGCCUGUUCUUCCAAAUUCUCCUGUUGUAUGUCACAUACUUUGACAAUGAGAUGCAUUUUUGGGUGACUUUUGAAUCAUUGAUAUGGAGGAACCAAUCAACAGUUACACAGUUCCUAGCUCCUACUUAAUCAGUUUUUCCUUUCUUUUGAUCAUUUACCAGCAGAUUAAGAAAGAACAUGCGUUUCAUUAGUAAAAAUUCAGUAUUUCUUAACAUAUGUUCAAUAAGGAUUCAGCAUUUCUUAUUUUGUUAAUGCUAAAGGCUGGUAUGUGCAUGCAAUUCUUCAACAAGCUAUUCACUUCUUAGGAAUGAAUUCUCCAAUUUCUUGAAAGGCACUGUAAGAUUAGUAAUAAAAACCUACCAAAAUAAUCUUAAUUAAUUGAAGCUGAAUUCUCCUGUCAUGAUAAAAGAUGAAAAUAUAUUUGGAAUAUGCUUUCCAUUAUCUACUCUAAAACUGAACAUAUUCAUUGAAUAUCUAAUUUAUACAUUUUGAUAACCCACAAUGCAUCUGUUUGCAUCUCACUUUGAACUGUCAAGUUCCUGCAGAGAUUAUUAAGCCUUUAGUAGCAUUAAACACAAGUUCACAUUUAGUUCUAAAGUGUUAAUGAAACAUUUUAGUCAUUUUCGCCAAAGAAAGGUUUUAUUCUAUUGUGUUACUCUCUAAUUUUGCUAUUCAACAUUGCAAAAUAAUUGAAAUAUGCUCUAGUGUGAUCAUAGUUCAGCAGAGUAUAUUUUUUGCCACUACUACAGUUUAGUAGUCUUCUUAACAAAAUAGAGCUAGUAUCUAAUAAUACUUAAAGAAAGGACAAUUAAUUUUAUGAAGAAUAUUUAUUGUUCUUUAGUAAUAAUUUUUUUUCUGGUCUUUAAGACUGACUCAUGAGGAUAAUGAUCAUUUCCAGUUGUUUAUUGCAAUGUACUGUCCCCUUUGUACUCUUUCUGAAAUGAAUGUUCAUUAAAUAUUUGAAUAUAA